AUGUAGGUAUCACUUUAUGUGUGUGUGUUUGCACAUGUGCGUGCAUGUAUAUGUGCAUGUAAAAAGAAUGUUACAUUUCAUUAUAAUGUUUUACACAGAGGUCCAAACAUACA
rnacentral:miRNA from 1 species